rnacentral:lncRNA from 1 species
CCUGCGAAUACACUGCUAUUACACAUCAGUUGAAAAAAAAAUUCAAUCACACGCACUAGGUGAGAGACAUUCGUUGAACUAUAAACGUAAAUUUGAUUUCAAAUUUAAAAAAAAACUGUCGCAUUCAAAUGUUCAUUGUACGCUAUUUAAAUAUAAUAAAAUUUUUUUAUUUUUCUUAUUUAUUCUUAAAUAAGUUUCAUUAAAAAAUGUUUCUUUGCAGAAAGCCAGAUGACGGCAAAUACCAGUUUAAUAGGUGGUUCAUAUUAAAGUAGCACAUUUGUCUCGAGGACAAGCAGCAGCCAUCUAAUAUACCAGGAUUUUAAUUGGUAUAUUAGGGAGUCUAAAUACAGGAGCGCGAGGCUCGCAAAGUAAAUCAUAUGGUAUAUGAAUGUGUGUGCAUUAAG